UACAGAGGGUGCGAGCGUUGUCCGGAAUCACUGGGCGUAAAGGGCGCGUAGGUGGCCUGAUAAGUACGGGGUGAAACCCUGCAGCUUAACUGCAGGACGGCCUCGUAGACUGUCCGGCUUGAGCAUGGUAGAGGCUGGUGGAAUUCCCGGUGUAGCGGUGGAAUGCGUAGAGAUUGGGGAAAGAACAUCGGUGGCGAAGGGCGGCCAGCUUGGGCCUUGCUGACACUGAGGCGCGGACAGCGUGGGGGAGCAAACAGG
rnacentral:rRNA from 1 species